CUUUGUGUUUUAUACAUUUAAAACAGAUAUAUAUUUGGCUUAUGGAUUUAUUUUUCAUGUGUUACUAUUGUUAAUUUUCUUUGGAUUAAUUUUUAAUUUUUUCGUUGAAAUUGGAAAAGAAAGUAAUUUUUUCUUAAUGUAAUAAUGAAUUUAAUAAAUAAAGU
rnacentral:rRNA from 1 species